UUUUAUUAUUAUAAAUAUUAAACAUCCAUUAGCUAUGGGAUUAACCUUACUUAUUCAAACUAUUUUAGUUUCAAUAAUUUCAGGAUUAAUAACUAAAACAUUUUGAUUUUCUUAUAUUUUAUUUUUAGUAUUUUUAGGAGGAAUACUAGUUCUAUUCAUUUAUGUAACUUCUUUAGCUUCAAAUGAAAUAUUUACAUUUUCUUCAAAAAUUUUGAUUUCAUCAAUUUCUAUUUUUUUUAUUAUAAUUAUUUCAUUAUAUUUUAUUGACAAAAGAAUUCUAUUAAAUUAUUCUAAUAUAGAAAUUCAAUCAAUUUCUAAUUUAAAUUCAUAUAUAAUAGAAAAUUCUCUUUCUUUAAACAAACUAUAUAAUUAUCCAACUAAUUUGUUAACAAUUUUAUUAAUAAAUUAUUUAUUAAUUACAUUAAUUGCAGUAGUAAAAAUUACUAAUUUAUUUAAGGGACCUUUACGACCUAUAUUUAAUUAACUAAUGAACAAACCUUUACGACUUAAACAUCCAAUUUUAAAUAUUGCAAAUAAUGCAUUAGUAGACCUACCUGCUCCAAGUAAUAUUUCAUCAUGAUGAAAUUUCGGAUCAUUACUAGGUUUAUGUUUAAUUAUUCAAAUUUUAACUGGAUUAUUUCUUGCUAUACAUUAUACAGCAGAUAUUAAUUUAGCAUUUAAUAGAGUAAAUAAUAUUUGUCGAGACGUUAAUUAUGGUUGAUUAUUACGAACUUUACAUGCUAAUGGUGCAUCAUUUUUCUUUAUUUGCAUUUAUCUACAUGUAGGACGAGGAAUAUAUUAUGGAUCAUAUUUAUAUACACCAACCUGACUAGUAGGAGUAAUUAUUUUAUUUCUAGUUAUAGGAACAGCUUUUAUAGGAUACGUUCUUCCUUGAGGACAAAUAUCUUUCUGAGGAGCAACAGUUAUUACUAAUUUAUUAUCAGCUAUUCCUUAUUUAGGAAUUGACUUAGUACAAUGAGUUUGAGGAGGAUUUGCUGUAGACAAUGCGACUUUAACUCGAUUUUUCACUUUCCAUUUUAUUUUACCUUUUAUUGUAUUAGCAAUAACAAUAAUCCAUUUAUUAUUUUUACAUGAAACCGGUUCAAAUAAUCCUAUUGGAUUAAAUUCUAAUAUUGAUAAAAUUCCUUUCCAUCCUUAUUUUACUUAUAAGGAUAUCGUUGGAUUUAUUAUUAUAACAAUAAUUUUAAUUUUAUUAGUAUUAAUUAAUCCAUACUUAUUAGGAGACCCUGAUAAUUUUAUCCCCGCUAAUCCUUUAGUUACACCUGUUCAUAUUCAACCUGAAUGAUACUUUUUAUUCGCUUAUGCUAUUCUUCGAUCUAUUCCAAAUAAGUUAGGAGGAGUAAUUGCAUUAGUUUUAUCAAUUGCAAUUUUAGCAAUUUUACCUUU